UGUUUUAUAUUUGCAUCUCUCAUCAUCAUCUGUUCUGUCCUCAUAAUUAUGAAAAAUGAACUGUUAUGUACCCCCCCCCUCCUUGCUUGUUAGAGAAAUAAACUGAUGAGAGCACUGGAUGAGGGUCUAUCACCUAUGGUCUAUUAUAAUUUGCUUUUUAUGCAAAUAGUGAGCAAAAAUUAAAGCAAAACUGUACAAGUUACAUAUAUAGUACUAUAUCAGUACUAUACACAAACUUUUAUCGAUGGAUAAUUUUGCGAGUUUUCAUCCAAUUCAAUCGUAUAUAUGCUCAACAUCUUCGCGGUAAGUUUCUCUUUACCAUAAAAUUUGACCGAAUAAGUUUCAAAACAAUGUGACGGCAAAAAAUGCAAAAAUCCUGAUUUUCAUAAUAGAAUUUAUAUAGUCUUUUUGCCCUGUUGUACCGCCAUCUUGGAUUUAUCAUGUAGGCCCCACCUGCGCUAGGUAUGC
rnacentral:lncRNA from 1 species